rnacentral:rRNA from 1 species
UACAGAGGUCUCAAGCGUUGUUCGGAUUCAUUGGGCGUAAAGGGUGCGUAGGCGGCGCGGUAAGUCGGGUGUGAAAUCUUGGAGCUUAACUCCGAAACUGCAUUCGAUACUGCCGUGCUUGAGGACUGGAGAGGAGACUGGAAUUUACGGUGUAGCGGUGAAAUGCGUAGAUAUCGUAAGGAAGACCAGUGGCGAAGGCGGGUCUCUGGACAGUUCCUGACGCUGAGGCACGAAGGCCAGGGGGAGCAAAACGGGGA